AUAGGUUUCUCCAAAGGUUAAGCGAAUCUAAGCCAAUUGGAUUUAAAUUUCCAAUGACAUGCAUGAAAAUCCAUAGAUAAAAACGUUUGCUAUGCAUUUUUAUUUUUUUUAAUUUUUAAAACACCAAACUUUAGUAGUUUGUUAUGCAAUGUUAUUUUUAUACCCUUGCAGAGCAAAAGAGUAUUAUAAUUUCAGUCAGAAGUUUGCAACACAGUGAAGGAGACACCUCAGACCCCAUAAAGCAUAUAUAUUCUUGAUCAGCAUCACGAGCAGAAUCGGAGUACGUCUGUACGUCUGUCCGUUUCUCCUCAAACUAGUCUCUCGGUUCUAAAGCAAUCUUGCUGAAACUUUCCCAAAAGAUGACGUUUUCUAACCACUAUUGAAUUUCGGAUUAAAUUUGAUCAAAAUCGGAUAACUCUAUCAUAAAAUAAAAAUAAAAUGCAUAGCAAACGUUUUUAUCUAUGGAUUUUCAUGCAUGUUAUUGGAAAUUUGAAUCCGAUUGGCUUAGAUUCGCUUAACCUUUGCGGAAACCUAUUUAUUCUCCCUCAGCUCAGGAUUUUCAUCAUUCAAAAAUGGUAAUCAUGAAGUCAAUGUGGUUGGUUGUUGUCGCUGUUCUGGCUGUGGCUAACUUGGGAGACGCACUGAAAAGUCCACCAAAAGAUGCCCCCAAAAUCGGUCCAAAGGGCCCCCCGGGUCUGUGAGCUUCUUCACUGACCAUUACCUUGGCGGUGCCCAAGUAAAAUGAAGUGCACAAAAGUUAGUUAACAAAUUCAAUUUAUUAAUUAAACUGGCACCAAGGCAUUAAAUGUA